rnacentral:misc_RNA from 1 species
AAAUGUAUGUAAAAAAUAAUAAAUAGAAAAUUUUGGACGAUCGUCGUAAAACUUUAUCUACAUAAAACAAACUAAAUACGUUUCACACGAAACGAGACAAGUCUCAACUUGUUUUAUAAUCAGUAACAUAUUGAUCAUAAAUUUGUUUGAUUCAAUUUCGUUGUUUGGCGUCGUUUGAACGAAACGUAUUUUUACAGUAGAAAACCUUAAAACUCUUAUAUCUACGUCAGUCAUUCGCUCAUAUUCAUUGUUAUUCGCUGGUGAGGCCCGUUCGCUAAGUCAAAUACAAACCGACAAUGUUAUGCAACAAAGCAUAACGCAAAUUAAAAUUAAUGUUAACAGAACUGUACUUAGUUUUACUAAAAUUUAUUAUAUAAAAAUUACAACAAAAUUUUUGACAUAGCGUGACUUAAAUUUAGAAAAUAUCUGUUAGAAAAUUGUUUUAUACAAACGAGUAAUAAAUAAUUCUGUAUGAAAUAGGAAACAAUUAUUUCAUGCUAUGACGAACUUUUCCUAUAACUCCCGAUACAAUUCGAUUUUAAAAUCAUAAUUUACAUUUUUGACUCUGGUUCUAACGUAUUACUCCGACCACAAUAACCUAUAAAAUUAUUACAAUAUUUUUUUAAUCUGGCAAGAUAUAUAACAUAUUAUUUUAUGUAUGGCAAGUUAAAGAAAGUUCUAUAGCUUAUGAAAAUGCUAUAAAAUGAUUACCUACUUUUUUGUUUCUCGACUAUCGAAAAGGGGUUAAAAAGUUAGAAAAAAAAACUGUUGUAUAUUUAAGAAAUCUAGUCAAAGUAUGGAUUAAGCUCCGAUCCUUCUCCUAGAUGGAAACAGAGACGGAUGCCCAGCAGCGGGAUACUGCAGGCAGAAUUAAUGAAUAUAAAAGAGACAAGGCUACACAA